rnacentral:rRNA from 1 species
CCUACGGGAGGCAGCAGUGGGGAAUAUUGCACAAUGGGCGCAAGCCUGACCCAGCAACGCCGCGUGAAGGAAGAAGGCUUUCGGGUUGUAAACUUCUUUUCUCAGGGACGAAGCAAGUGACGGUACCUGAGGAAUACGCCACGGCUAACUACGUGCCAGCAGCCGCGGUAAUACGUAGGUGGCAAGCGUUAUCCGGAUUUACUGGGUGCAAAGGUCGGGUAGGCGGGGAGGCAAGUCAGAUGUGAAAACCAUGGGCUCAAACUGUGGCCUGCAUUUGAAACUGUUUUUCUUGAGUACUGGAGAGGGGGACGGAAUUCCAGGUGUAGCGGUGAAAUGCGUAGAGAUUAGGAGGAACACCAGUGGCGAAGGCGGUCUGCUGGACAGCAACUGACGCUGAGGCGCGAAAGCGUGGGGAGCAAACAGGAUUAGAUACCCGGGUAGUC